UUGCAGAUCUCAGCAAAAAGUCACUGAGGUGGUCGAUCUCUAAAAAUAAUGGCAGUGCAUUAUUCAUGUGGAAACCUGCACGAUCAUCAAAACGCACGCACUGUGUUGACUGUAUCCUAUAUAAAUAUAACAGUAAGGGUCCCCUGCUCUCUUAUCUCCUCUCCCAUCUCCUCUCCUAUCCCUAUAUGAGACGAUGUAAAGAUGAUCGACUGCUGUUAAUUUCCUCGCGCAGAUCACGCGCAACGGCUCGCAGUAAAUCUACACACAUGCGGCGGGAAAAUAACAGCUCGUGUGCCAUAUCCGCUGUUAGUUCCGACUCAAACUCAAUCAGCAAACGACGGUCACUGUCACGACUCCAUCGACCUCCCCGCUGAAACGAGUCCCCGCUUGUCGCAUCCGUUUAGCGCACUUAGACAGCACUUACAAUGCAGUUUGUCUGAAGUGUCGCGGCGUAUUUCAUCAUAUUAAUGACAUAAAGGACCUCUUCCCCCUGCUCGCGCUAUAAACUCUUAUUUAUGUCUCAAGAAAAGCUAAUGCAGCGCUGCUCACUGGCAGGCGGUUCGGAUCCAAUCAUUCCCGUCACGUUCAAGAUCUGGAUUGAAAGAAAGAAUUAACACAGCAUCUGAUGAAUGAAAGAGCAGAUCUAUCACUCAACCAGACUUAUCUCAACCUCCUCCCACAGUACAAACCUCUCACUCGCAACUGACUUUUUAAAAAGACAGUUGCAACCCAAAGUCAUAUUUCUCUCUGUUUGCUUGUGUGUGUUGAAGUGUAAAAGGAUAAAUGCAGUAUAGCUGAACUGACUAAUGGUACGCCUACUCUUGAUAUACCGGCAAGGGGAAGGCAUUGUCUCUGCUCCUAUAAGUGGUGGUGAGUGGUGUGCUUACUCAGGAAAGGCAGAAGACUUUGCUAGUAGCAAAACAAGCAAUACUGAGAGCAAAAGUGGAAUUACGUCAUGUAACCAGAGCCGGAAAGAUGUUCCUCCCACAAAGAGAUGAAAACUCCUUAGAUGAAACCUGAGCAAUAUGCUAAAGGUAAGAUAAUAUUUGGUCAGUCUGUCAAACGCAUCAACAACAUCCUCUUGUCCAGGAACACCUCACAUUCUGUUACUUCUGUCAUGAGCGUCCACUAGAUGUCAGUACAGUGCUGUGAAACACAGACAGACUGCAGGAGUGCUGUCAAAUAAAGAACAGAGACACGCCAAAAGCUUCCUAGACCUCCAUCUAUUAGAAAUUAAUGUACUGCUGCAAACUCUUAAUUU